rnacentral:rRNA from 1 species
AUUGAACGCUGGCGGCAUGCUUUACACAUGCAAGUCGAACGGUAACAGGUUAAGCUGACGAGUGGCGAACGGGUGAGUAAUGCAUCGGAACGUGCCCGAUCGUGGGGGAUAACGCAGCGAAAGCUGCGCUAAUACCGCAUACGAUCUGAGGAUGAAAGCGGGGGACCGUAAGGCCUCGCGCGAUCGGAGCGGCCGAUGUCAGAUUAGGCAGUUGGUGGGGUAAAGGCCCACCAAGCCGACGAUCUGUAGCUGGUCUGAGAGGACGACCAGCCACACUGGGACUGAGACACGGCCCAGACUCCUACGGGAGGCAGCAGUGGGGAAUUUUGGACAAUGGGCGAAAGCCUGAUUCAGCAAUGCCGCGUGCAGGAAGAAGGCCUUCGGGUUGUAAACUGCUUUUGUACGGAGCGAAAAGGUCCUUUCUAAUACAAGGGGCUCAUGACGGUACCGUAAGAAUAAGCACCGGCUAACUACGUGCCAGCCGCCGCGGUAA